rnacentral:rRNA from 1 species
UGAGGGAAUAUUGGGUCAAUGGGCGCAAGCCUGAACCAGCCAAGUAGCGUGAGGGAAGACUGCCCUACGGGUUGUAAACCUCUUUUGUUUGGGAAUAAAGUGCGGGACGCGUCCCGCAUUGCAUGUACCAUUUGAAUAAGGACCGGCUAAUUCCGUGCCAGCAGCCGCGGUAAUACGGAAGGUCCGGGCGUUAUCCGGAUUUAUUGGGUUUAAAGGGAGCGCAGGCGGGCUUUUAAGUCAGUUGUGAAAUCGGCGGCUCAACCGUCGGACUGCAGUUGAUACUGGAAGCCUUGAGUUCACACAGGGAUGCCGGAAUUCAUGGUGUAGCGGUGAAAUGCUCAGAUAUCAUGAAGAACCCCGAUCGCGAAGGCAGGCAUCCGGGGUGUUACUGACGCUGAGGCUCGAAAGUGCGGGUAUCAAACAGGAUUAGAUACCCUGGUAGU